CUUUAUUUUAUGGUUGUUUUCCCACAGUUUAAUUAAAGGGCUACUUAGAAGAUGGGGAUUAGAGACCCCCGUAUUGAGUAGGUUAUUUUGUGCUCCCAUAGUCCAAACUAAAAAAACUUGGCAGCUGAUGAGAUUCUUCCGGGGGAGUGUGUGCUGUAAGAGAUAGUCCGCUUAGUUAUUUGCCGUCCCCAGUUAAGUUAGUGUAUAUCCGACUCAACAUUCGUGGUUUAUGCUAGGGGUGGAUUUAGGAUUAGUUAAGUCAGGCGUGGUGG
rnacentral:rRNA from 1 species